UACGUAGGUGACCAGCGUUGUCCGGAUUUACUGGGCGUAAAGGGCGCGUAGGCGGCCACUGCAAGUCAGUUGUGAAAUCUCCGGGCUUAACCCGGAAAGGUCAACUGAUACUGCAGGGCUAGAGUGCAGAAGGGGCAACUGGAAUUCUCGGUGUAGCGGUGAAAUGCGUAGAUAUCGAGAGGAACACCUGCGGCGAAGGCGGGUUGCUGGGCUGACACUGACGCUGAGGCGCGAAAGCCAGGGGAGCGAACGGG
rnacentral:rRNA from 1 species